CUAGCUGUAAACGAUGGAUACUAGGCGUUGAGAAUAUCGACCCUCUCAGUGUCGUAGCUAACGCGUUAAGUAUCCCGCCUGGGGAGUACGCGCGCAAGCGUGAAACUCAAAGGAAUUGACGGGGGCCCGCACAAGCGGUGGAGUAUGUGGUUUAAUUCGAUGCAACGCGAAGAACCUUACCAGGGCUUGACAUGUCCGGAACCCUGCCCAAAGGCGGGGGUGCCUACGGGAACCGGAACACAGGUGGUGC
rnacentral:rRNA from 1 species